UGAGAAAGCACGAGGGCAACUGACGCCGUAAGGUGAGGAAAGUCCCCCCUCCUCGGCAGGGCCCAGUUGGCGCAAGCCAGUGUUCCGAGAGGAAUGGUAAAGGCAAAAGAAAUCAACGGUUCCCAGUAAAGGAUGAACUCGAAGGGGAGACGUUUCUGGGAGAUCCGAUGGGAAGCCUUCCUGGGUGGAGAAAGUCUAAAAUGGCCCUGUGAAGCUGCCGUUAGGGCCGGGUGAGACGACUAGUCGAAUGUUGCCAGCCCGAAAGGGUGAACAGAAGGGGGCUUACUCCGUGGAUUCUCAUCU
rnacentral:RNase_P_RNA from 2 species